AUCUAUUGUUAACAUGGACCAUCGGGUUAACAUAGACCAGGGUCCUACAAAUAGACAGAGACGGUGACAAUCUAUUGUUAACAUGGACCAUCAGGUUAACAUAGUCCAGGGUCCUACAAAUAGACAGGGAACAGUGACAAUCUAUUGUUAACAUGGACCAUCAGGUUAACAUAGUCCAGGGUCCUACAAAUAGACAGAGACGGUGACAAUCUAUUGUUAACAUGGACCAGUAACUACAUAUUGUUAAGGUCUCCUACAGGCUUUUCAGACAAUCAGUUAACGUAUUACACAGAGAGAAAAAUGACAAUUUGAUUUUUUUACAAACAUGAAGACCAUUAUAUAGGUUAAAAUAGUCCCAAGUCCUACAGAUAGCAGUGUAUCAAAAUG